rnacentral:rRNA from 1 species
CAUCCAAGGAAGGCAGCAGGCGCGCAAAUUACCCACUCCCGGCACGGGGAGGUAGUGACGAAAAAUAACGAUACGGGACUCAUCCGAGGCCCCGUAAUCGGAAUGAGCACACUUUAAACCCUUUAACGAGUAUCCAUUGGAGGGCAAGUCUGGUGCCAGCAGCCGCGGUAAUUCCAGCUCCAAUAGCGUAUAUUAAAGUUGUUGCGGUUAAAAAGCUCGUAGUUGGAUUUGUGUCCCACGCUGUCGGUUCACCGUUCGUCGGUGUUUAACUGGCAUGCCCGUGCGGACGUCCUGCCGGUGGAUGCGGUCGACCGUGGGCCUCUGGUCUGCGCGUCGGCGGUCCGAUGCAAUCCUACCGCGGUGCUCUUUACCGAGUGUCGAGGUGGGCCGGCACGUUUACUUUGAACAAAUUAGAGUGCUCAAAGCAGGCAGUGGUUCGCCUGAAUAUUGUGUGCAUGGAAUAAUGGAAUAGGACCUCGGUUCUAUUUUGUUGGUUUUCGGAACUUGAGGUAAUGAUUAAUAGGGACAGACGGGGGCAUUCGUAUUGCGACGUUAGAGGUGAAAUUCUUGGAUCGUCGCAAGACGAACCUAAGCGAAAGCAUUUGCCAUGGGUGUUUUCAUUAGUCAAGAACGAAAGUUAGAGGUUCGAAGGCGAUCAGAUACCGCCCUAGUUCUAACCAUAAACGAUGCCAGCUAGCGAUCCGCCGAAGUUCCUCCGAUGACUCGGCGGGCAGCUUCCGGGAAACCAAAGCUUUUGGGUUCCGGGGGAAGUAUGGUUGCAAAGCUGAAACUUAAAGGAAUUGACGGAAGGGCACCACCAGGAGUGGAGCCUGCGGCUUAAUUUGACUCAACACGGGUAACCUCACCAGGCCCGGACACCGGAAGGAUUGACAGAUUGAGAGCUCUUUCUUGAUUCGGUGGGUGGUGGUGCAUGGCCGUUCUUAGUUGGUGGAGCGAUUUGUCUGGUUAUU